rnacentral:rRNA from 1 species
UUCUACGGCCAUACCACCCUGAACGCGCCUGAUCUCGUCUGAUCUCGGAAGCUAAGCAGGGUCGGGCCUGGUUAGUACUUGGACGGGAAAUCUCAGCUUUUUGAGAAA